rnacentral:rRNA from 1 species
AUGAACGUUGGCGGCGUGCCUAACACAUGCAAGUCGAGCGUGAAAGUUCUUUCGGGAAUGAGUAAAGCGGCGGACGGGUGAGUAACACAUGAGAAUCUACCCUUUAGUGAGGAAUACCCUUGGGAAACCAAGGUUAAUACUGCAUAUCUCUUUUUUAAAGAGAAAGGUGGCCUAUUUGCUACCGCUAAAGGAUGAGCUUAUGGUCUAUUAAUUAGUUGAUAAGGUAAAGGCCUACCAAGACUAUGAUGGAUAACCGGCCUGAGAAGGUGUACAACCACAUUGGAACUUAGACACGGUCCAGACUCCUACAAAAAACAGCAGUGAAAAAUAUUGCACAAUAAGCAAAAGCCUGAUACAACAACACCACAUAAAAAAUAAAGGUCUUAGGAUUGUAAACUCCUAUUAAGUGGGAAUAAAGAACUAUUAUAAAUAAUAAUAGUAAAUGAAUGUACCAUUAUAGAAAGCACCAGCUAACUUCGU